AGCCGACGCUGGGUGAGGAC
rnacentral:misc_RNA from 1 species